AUUGAACGCUGGCGGCAGGCCUAACACAUGCAAGUCGAGCGAGCGGCGGACGGGUGAGUAAUGUAUGGGGACUGCCCGAUAGCGGGGGAUAACUACUGGAAACGGUAGCUAAUACCGCAUACUAUCGGAUAACCCAUAGGGGAUUAGCUAGUUGGUGAGGUAAUGGCUCAACAAGUCGACGAUCCCUAGCUGGUCUGAGAGGAUGAUCAGCCACAUUGGGACUGGGACACGGCCCAGACUCCGACGGAGGCAGCAGUGGGGAAUAUUGGGCAAUGGACGCAAGCCUGAUGGAGCCAUGCCGCGUGUAUGAAGAAGGCCCUAGGGUUGUAAAGUACUUUCAGUCGGGAGGCGUUACCGACAGAAGAAGCACCGGCUAACUCCGUGCCAGCAGCCGCGGUAAUUC
rnacentral:rRNA from 1 species